CACUCCUUCCCAGAAGUUCCCAGCAACUCUUAUUUAUGCGUAGCCACAGGCAUGAUGGGAAAUGAGUAUGUGGCAUUUUGAGCCUCCAUGAUGGAAACAGGCUCCACCCAGAGGAAGCAGCGGGUAGAUCUGGCUAUUAGAUGUGUUGCACGGUCUAAUCAAUAGACCCAGAAAAGGAAGAUAGAUCUCGGUGUCAGCAUGGAGGGAACAUGCAUGGGGUGUUGGAUUCUAGAUCAGGUUGGAUCUCUGCCUCUAUCUAUGUGACUUUGUAUGUGUUCAAUGAUAGGUAAGCAGUGAGUGUGGUAGGCUGAAAAAUGGGCCCUCUACAUCCUAACCCCUAGAGCCUGUGACUGUUAUCUUACUGGGCUCAAAAAAGGGUCUUUAUGCAUGUGAUUAAGUUAAGAAUCUUGAGAUGGGGAGAUAGCCUGGAUUUUCCAGUUAGGCCCUAAAUGCAAUCACAUGUAUCCUUAUAUGAGGAAGGCAGUGGAAAACUUGACACACACAGAGGAGAAGCUGGUGUGGAGGUGGAGCAGAAGGAUUUCAAGAUACUGGCCUUGAAGAUUGGAGUGAUGUGGCUGCAAGCCAAAGAAUGCCAGCAGCCACCAGAAACUGGAAGAGGCAAGGAAUGAAUUUUUCCCUAGAGUCUCUGGAGGGAGUGUGAUCCUGAUGACACCUUGAUUUUGGCCCAGUGAUACUGAUUUAGGGCUUUUGGCCUUCAGAACUGUGAGAUAAUAAAUUUCUGUUAUUUUAAGCCAAUAAGAAUGUGGUAAUUUUUUAUAGCAGCGAUAGGAAACAAAUAGAGUAAGGAACUCACAGAACAUCCAAACAUGGGGCCUACCAGCCAGGCUAAUGAACCUCCACAGUGUCUAAAAGUUCCAUUUUUGCAAAUUAUCUUCUAGGCUAGUUGGAAUAGUCCAGCUGCCUGUUUCAAAUUCAGCAUUCAUAAGCACAAAAUAUUUAGCAGAAGGAAAAUAAGCCUACUGAUUUUUUUUUUUUUUUUUUGUGGUA